rnacentral:lncRNA from 1 species
GGUCCGCUAAGUGCGGCACAAAUGCAUGACACGCGGCUGCGGAAGGCAGUGCGCUUAGGAAGCCCGCCGCGGCGGCAUGCCGAAUUGAAGGCGUUGAUUUAGGAGCAUAUAGACAGCAGCCGCGGGAGGCGGUGUGCUUGUAGAAAAGCCGCCGCGGCGGUCCGCUAAGUGCGGCACAAAUGCAUGACACGCGGCUGCGGAAGGCAGUGCGCUUAGGAAGCCCGCCGCGGUGGCAUGCUGAAUUGAAGGCGUUGAUUUAGGAGCAUAUAGACAGCGGCCGCGGGAGGCGGUGUGCUUGUAGAAAAGCCGCUGCGGCGGUCCGCUAAGUGCGGCACAAAUGCAUGACACGCGGCUGCAGAAGGCAGUGCGCUUAGGAAGCCCGCCGCGGCGGCACGCCGAAUUGAAGGUGUUGAUUUAGGAGCAUAUAGACAGCGGCCGCGGGAGGCGGUGCGCUUGUAGAAAAGCCGCUGCGGCGGUCCGCUAAGUGCGGCACAAAUGCAUGACACGCGGCUGCGGAAGGCAGUGCGCUUAGGAAGCCCGCCGCGGCGGCACGCCGAAUUGAAGGUGUUGAUUUAGGAGCAUAUAGACAGCGGCCGCGGGAGGCGGUGCGCUUGUAGAAAAGCCGCUGCGGCGGUCCGCUAAGUGCGGCACAAAUGCUAUGACACGCGGCUGCGGAAGGCAGUGCGCUUAGGAAGCCCGCCGCGGUGGCAUGCUGAAUUGAAGGCGUUGAUUUAGGAGCAUAUAGACAGCGGCCGCGGGAGGCGGUGUGCUUGUAGAAAAGCCGCUGCGGCGGUCCGCUAAGUGCGGCACAAAUGCAUGACACGCGGCUGCGGAAGGCAGUGCGCUUAGGAAGCCCGCCGCGGCGGCACGCCGAAUUGAAGGUGUUGAUUUAGGAGCAUAUAGACAGCGGCCGCGGGAGGCGGUGUGCUUGUAGAAAAGCCGCUGCGGCGGUCCGCUAAGUGCGGCACAAAUGCAUGACACGCGGCUGCAGAAGGCAGUGCGCUUAGGAAGCCCGCCGCGGCGGCACGCCGAAUUGAAGGUGUUGAUUUAGGAGCAUAUAGACAGCGGCCGCGGGAGGCGGUGCGCUUGUAGAAAAGCCGCUGCGGCGGUCCGCUAAGUGCGGCAUGAA